GUGCAAACAGCAGACUCCUGACUAAUAGGUGGGGCCUGUCUGAGGAGUUAGGUCGUCAUAGCUGUAUGUCUGGGUCCUAUGGAGCCACAGGCUGAAGCACAAGUCUUUGUCAUUGUGCCAGAUCACCGGGUGCAACCCUGAGCAAGAGAGGGGGGCAUCCUCCCACCUCUGCUGAGGUCACAGCCGGGCUCCAGGGAGACCACAACUAUGUGGCCCCUCUGGAUCCUCAAGGACUGCUGCCUUGAGAGGCUGGCAGAUCCCCCGGACAGGAGAAUAGUCUCAGCCAUCACAGGCCUGAGCAGCAAUGGAAGUGAAGAACCCUCAAGCGGCUUCACAGGCAGCCAAAUUCCACAAGGGGGCGGGGCAGUCGAGAGCAGAAGAUGUCCUGAGGAGGUAGCAGAUGCUCAGAGGGGAUGACCACAGGCUACACCUGUGACCCGGGCACUGGGUUUCCCAGCUUCGCCAGCAGGCCAACGGUCCUGGCAGGAUCGAGGAGCGAGAACCAGCAAGCCUACCCUUUCAGGGAAGUGGAGGGCUUCCAAC
rnacentral:lncRNA from 1 species